AAUUUAUUGAGUAAAAGUUAAUUGAUAAUUUAUUGAGUAAAAAAUGAUUAAAGUAAAAAAAAUAAAGUCAAACGUUAAUUAUUUGUCAAACCUGUAGCUAUUGUUAAAUCCUAUGUGCCUGAAAACAUAUAUAAAGCUCCUCAAAUCUAUGUUCCUCAAGUGGUUGAAACAAGACCACUUGAGGGUUCAUUUAACAAUUGUAUGAAAACGAAUUGGAAAUAUUUGACGAUAUUCCAGAAAUAGACGAUGAACAAGUUCGCAUACUCGACAGAAUAAUGGUAAGAAUCGAUCGACAUUUAAACAACGACAGAAUGAAAAGAAACGAACAAUAUUUUGCAAGACGCGUGUUAUGUUUAGGAUGUUGUCUGUGUGACGAAGAAAGUGAGCACAAUCAUUGUUGUGUCCGUCCAACGUGGUAAAUAUAUGGCUGCAAUAGGAGCAAUUGCUUCAAAACUUUUACCAAGACUUUUACCUGUAAUAGGAAGAGCCGGUUUAGGUGGUGCAGUUUCAGGAGGAAUAUCUUAUGGGAUCAAUCAAGCUGGAAAAUAAAAAAAACAUUUCUUUGUAUCAUUUUAAUUUAUUAAAUAUUGUAUUAAACCGUGUA